UACGAAGGGGGCUAGCGUUGCUCGGAAUUACUGGGCGUAAAGCGCACGUAGGCGGUCUUUUAAGUCGGGGGUGAAAUCCUGGAGCUCAACUCCAGAACUGCCUUCGAUACUGGAAGACUCGAGUCCGGGAGAGGUGAGUGGAACUGCGAGUGUAGAGGUGAAAUUCGUAGAUAUUCGCAAGAACACCAGUGGCGAAGGCGGCUCACUGGCCCGAUACUGACGCUGAUGCACGAAAGCGUGGGGAGCAAACAGG
rnacentral:rRNA from 1 species